GCAGCGAGAUGCACACCUUCUCAAGUUUUUAAUGAUUUAUCUUGCUAGGUGCUUAUUAAGGAUUGUAACAUCUUGCAGUGAAAGUGGCUUCCUGGAAACCUAUAAUUCUUACUGUUUGGCCUUUCAGGAUCGUCUCUUCCACUUCCUUCAGCAUUUUUUUAAAACAUGAACUGAAGUAUUCGUUUAAAUGGGGAAAGAGGAGGGGUACUGAGGCCUGCCUUCUGCCAGUCCUUCUGCGGAACACAGUGGUAGUUGGCUGGGCAAGCACAUUCUCUGCUCAUCCUCUGACCUCAUU
rnacentral:lncRNA from 1 species